AAAAAAAAAAAGAAUAAAAUGUUUACCGCGUUGAAUUUAAGCUGCUGCCUAUGUUAAAAGUGUAAGUGUAAGCAUUUUGCAUUUGGUGUCUAAGACCUGGAGCUGUACAAAUGUGUGAAAAAUCUCUUCAGGGAAGAUCAAUUUAACUCUCUGGAGCCCAGCCAAGAAUCUAAAGGAAGCGGAAAAGACCUAUGAAUAGCACACAUACAUACAGGAGAGCUGUGCACAAAAGCCCCUGCUGGGGAGAGGUUCCCCGCUGCUCACCACCUCACGUGGGGUGGCGGCUCUUUCUGCUCUAUUUAUUUCCUUGUUUACUGCCCUGAGAAGUCAAGACACACUGUGUUUCCAAGAGCAUAUAUAUUCCUUUUUUUAAACAUUAAAAGUCAUUUGCAUCAUUUAGAUAAAGGGGAGGGGGGACUCCAUUCCAUUCAGGAAACGGCCCUCCAAUUCCCAGAAGUGUUCGUAGUUAAGGUAGAUUAAAAUUCAAAUUUAGUGCUGCUCAAUAACAUGCCAUUUGGAGAGGUUUCCGUCUUUGCAGUGCCGUCUGCAAGACUCAAGAACAAUCGGCUGUCCUAUGGAUGUUCUGUAGGAUGUCUGUAUUUGUGACGCCCUCAGUCCCAAGCAUGUGAAGUAGAUGUUUAUCAUCAUGAGCGGUCAAUGGAAAACGUCAGAUUUGUAGAUGUUGGAAAGGAAAUUCAUUCAGCAAAGCCACUCCGGGUUGAAACUAGCUAGGUAGUCAGAUGUCCAUGCAGAGACUUGGACCACACAGCCUCGGAGUUCUACUGAGGAUUAUCUCACCCCAGGGGUCGUCUCUUUACUUCUCAAGAAUACAUUUGUUUCACUCCUCCACUUGGCCAAAGUGUUCAUAAAGCAGCAUCUCUAUCAGUGAGAUGAAAUUACUGGGAAAUAAGUAGAGGAUGCUAGGAGUUCAAAGAUUGGCUUAUUCAAAGUUAUUUUUCUUUAACUUUAUUCAUUUAUGUUUUGAAUUCAGAAGAAACAAAAGUCAAUAGAGUGAAAAACUUCUUCCCAUCUGUCUUUCUCCAGUCACCCAGUUUUUAGUCCUCUACAGACCUAUGGCUUGUGUGCCUUUUCCGAGGUGAUUUACUCUAAUAUGAGAAAUGCAUAUAUAUACACAUAUCCAUAUAUGUGCAUAUGUGCAUGUUUGCUUGUAUGUGUGCAUGAUACAUAGUUAUCUAUGGAGUGUAUUUGCCAUGCAUGCACAUAUACCAGCCAUGAUUCUUGUCUCUUUUUCUAUAUAAAUGGUAGAUGUCGCAAACGCUUUUCUGCAACUUGCCUUUUCACUUGAUUAUAUACACACCACUGAGAACAGUUCCCAUCAGUGUAUAAUGAACGUAUUCAUACUUUGCUAUGAAUACAGAGUAUUUUAGUGCAUACGACAGUCAUUUUACCGGCCCGGGAUUGAGGAACAUUUUGACCGUUUCUAAUCACUUGUUAUUAUAAGCAAUACUUCAGUGAAUAAUCCUCAAUAUUCUUCAUUCUGUACCUAUGCUGGUUUAGCUUAGCAGUAAAAUAAAUUUCCAGAGUAGAAAUCGCUGAAUCAAAGGCUGCAUGCAUUUAUAAUUUUAUUUUCUGAGAUUCUUUAAAUUUUAUUUACUUUUUAACUAGAUAACACGUGUGUACACAUAAUUACAAGGAAAAAGAGCAUAAAUAGUGAAAAUGAAUCCUUAUAUAUUUUCUUCCUACCUUUUCUUCCUUUUAAAAAAUUUUGCAUCUUGUAUAUGCAUGUUUAAGUAAAUGUGUAUGUAUAUGUGUGUGUAUAUGCAUACACAUUUGUAUGUAUUAUAUUCCUCUGUGUGUGUUAGUACUGUGUUUCAAUGUAUGAGAUUGGCAAGCUAGUAGGAUACUGGUUAAUAGAUGGGUACCAGGCAUCGGUUAAACCACUCACCUUUGGAACACACUUCCUUAUUGUCUCAUCUUUUAGUCUCGAUCACAUUUGAUGAUUUGUAGGCUGGUGAUAGCAUGAAAUAUGGACAUUCCUGCUGCUGUUUGGUGGAAUGAUGAUUUGAUAACAUGUAUCAAAGUUUAAAAUGCACUUAGCUGUUGGUUUAGCAAUGCCACUGUUAGGAAACUUACCUAACAUCAACACUUGCAGAUGUUCACCUAGAUCUGGGGAGAAGAAUAUUCAUUGCAACACUAUUUUCAAAAAUGAAGAGCAAACAAAACCUGGAAAAAAUAAAGUAUUUAUUAAUAUCAGACUGCUUGUAUAAAUUAUGGUGCAUCUUGGAAUAACAUGAACACAUUUUUUUGGGGGUUUUGUUUUUAAUGAAAUGUUAAUGUAAUCAUACCAAAAGAUUUUCCAAAAAGGCAAGACAAAGAACAGUGUGUCUGGUAAGAAAACAUAUAACUUUGGAUAGUGGUAACCUUUGAGGGGAGGAAAGGCGUGGGUAUGGAAAGGCUUUACUUUUCACUUGGCACUUUCUGUACCAUAAAUAUAUAUUCUUAUACAUGCACAUAUCUAUUAUUUUUAAAGUAUGUCAACAAAUGUCAAACAUAAUAUACCUUAGAGGGGAACUUAUUAGCCCUUUUUGUUUUUGCUUUAACUUUCCCAUAUUAAGGUAUACAUUUACAAAGAAAAUAAAUUUAUGGUUACGAAAGGGGAGAGGGGGAGGCAGGUGUGGGAGGGAUGGAUUGGGAGUUUACGAUUAGCAAAUGCCAACUAGUAUAUAUAGAAGAGAUAACAAGGUCCUACUGUAUAGCACAGGAAACUAUGUUUGCUUCCCUGUAAUAAACUAUGAUGGAAAAGAAUAUGAAAAAGAAUAUAUAUACAUAUAUGUAUAUAACAGAAUCACUUCGCUAUAUGCCAGACACUGACACAACUUGGUAAAUAAACUAUAUUUCAAUUUAAAAAAAAGUACAUAUCAAAUGAAAACAGGGGGAUUGCCAUUGUAGCUCAACGGGUUAAGAACCUGACAUAGUAUCCAUGAGGAUGGCGGUUCGACUCCUGGCCUCACUCAGCGGGUUAAGGAUCCGGUGUUACCACAAGCUGCAGCAUAGGUCACAGAGGUGGCUUGGAUCCUGGGUUGCCAGGGCUGUGGCAUAAACCUCAGCUGCAGAUCUGAUUUGACCCCUAGCCUGAAAACUUCCAUAUGCUGG
rnacentral:lncRNA from 1 species